AUGUCCAACGACAAGCCGACAGAAAACAGCGACUCUUCUUACAUGUCAGGCAUACUGGCCAGCUGCCUUCUCAGGGCAAUGCAGCCGACAAGGAGUUUACUUCGCUGGACCGACGAUCUCCAUAAGAUCUUCGUGGAAGCUGUAGAGUAUCAAGGAGGCCCCUAUGAGGCGAAGCCAACUGCGGUGAAGCAGAGAAUGGAAGCUAUGGGAGUCACAGGUCUCACAAUUUGGAACAUAAAGAGCCACCUUCAGAGAUACAGGGAGAAGUGCAACUUAGGAGCUGAAUCUCCGCCGGAUGUCCUAAGCACUGCAUCACCAAGCAAGGGAGUGGAUAAUGUGUAUGGUUCCGCAUGCUCUGUGUUCUCUAUUUAUUUAUUUAUUUAUUUAUUUUAG
rnacentral:rRNA from 1 species